rnacentral:misc_RNA from 1 species
GAUGAAGAACGGAGCGAAAUGCGAUAAGUAAUGCGAAUUGCAGAAUUCCGUGAGUCAUCGAAUCUUUGAACGCACAUUGCGCCCUUUGGCAUUCCGAAGGGCAUGCCUGUUCGAGCGUCAUUUAUCAACCCUCAAGCCCGGCUUGCGGUUGGGUCCCGCCGUGGGCGACCACGGCGGACCCGAAAGGUAAUGGCGGUGCCCGUGGGGCCCUGGACGCAGCGAGCUUCUCGGCACGCGUCCCGGCGGUCCCCGGCGCCGUCUUCACCAAUCCACCACGCAGAUUGACCUCGGAUCAGGUAGGGAUACCCGCUGAACUUAAGCAUAUCAAUAAGCGGAGGA